GUGGGUCUAGUUCUCAUUCCAUUGUGGUAUCAGGACUAUGUUAUGUGAAUGUUGUUACACAAUAUUGUGUUACUCAUCUGUAUAACCUAGCUCUGAUACCAUGAACAAAAUUAAAUCUACGACCCAU